GACCGGUGUUGGCUAUCAACGUGCAUGAGUAGCAUUGGACACGUGUCUGCCGGUAGAUCCCCCGUUGUACUUCGGCCGACUACCGGCGCCGUGUCCCGUCACUCUUGUGGCAUUGUCCCGAUGGAUUGAACCAGUGGCUUGCGUGCUAGUACCCGACCUACGGGAAGUGGUGCUUCGUAUAAUUGUUGCCUCACGGUGGACGCCCUUUGGGUGUGCCAUUGUGACCGAAUAGCGCUUGCGGCGUUGCCUCGUACAACAUCCAUAUAAUGUGCAUGUUGAUAUCACGGCAACCUCGCUCUCGCUUUUGGUCUAGGAUGCUGCUCACGAUAAAGGCUCGAGGCCCUUCGGGUUGCCUCGAUCCGAAACAAUGUUCUCUCUCCGAAAUGGCGAUAACCGGGUACAUGUCUUGCCUCUACCUCUCCACAGUUACGUGGUAGGAUACGCAACCCUAUGAUCCGGCCCUCAUGGAGGAGGAGACAUGCUCUCUCCGAAAUGGCGAUAACCGGGUACAUGUCUUGCCUCUACCUCUCCACAGUUACGUGGUAGGAUACGCAACCCUAUGAUCCGGCCCUCAUGGAUGAUGAGACAUUCACAAUGCUCUCUCUGAAAUGGCGAUAACCGGGUACAUGUCUUGCCUCUACCUCUCCACAGUUACGUGGUAGGAUAUGCAACCCUAUGAUCCGGCCCUCAUGGAGGAUGAGACAUGCCCGCUCAAAAGCGACAACUGGCUCGGCUGUUGCAUUUGUCUUUCCACGCAAGUGGCAAUUGCAGGGUAACUACCGAC
rnacentral:misc_RNA from 1 species